rnacentral:rRNA from 1 species
UACGUAGGGUGCGAGCGUUUGUCCGGAUUUAUUGGGCGUAAAGAGCUUGUAGGCGGCUCGUCACGUCGGGUGUGAAAACUUGCGGCUUAACCGCAAGCCUGCACCCCGAUACGGGCGGGCUAGAGUUCGGCAGGGGGAGACUGGAAUUCCUGGUGUAGCGGUGGAAUGCGCAGAUAUCAGGAGGAACACCGGUGGCGAAGGCGGGUCUCUAGGCCGACACUGACGCUGAGGAGCGAAAGCGUGGGGAGCGAACAGG